UACAGAGGUCUCAAGCGUUGUUCGGAUUCAUUGGGCGUAAAGGGUGUGUAGGUGGCGCGCUAAGUCGGGUGUGAAAUUUUGGAGCUUAACUCCGAAACUGCAUUCGAUACUGGCGUGCUUGAGGACUGGAGAGGAGACUGGAAUUCAUGGUGUAGCAGUGAAAUGCGUAGAGAUCGGGAAGAACAUCGGUGGCGAAAGCGCUCUGCUGGACUGCAACUGACACUCAGGGACGAAAGCUAGGGGAGCGAAUGGG
rnacentral:rRNA from 1 species